CUGAGGGGGGAGAAACGGCGCUAACUUUAGCUCGCUCCGCCGGCGUGGGAGGGAGGACGGAUCCCGGCUGAGGGAGGGAAGGAGGCCUCAUUCGGCUCAGUGGAGGAGUCGAGGGCGCCGCGGGGCCCGACGCAGGGAGCGCUCGUCCCGCUAGCUCCCUUCCCUCCCGAGGCAGGGGGAGCGUCGGCACCGAGCUUUUCUUUUUUGAGGGGGGAACGGCGCCUCGCCUCCCCUCGCCGUCCGCGGGAGCCGGAGGGGCAGGAGCCCGGCGCGGCGAGAGGGAGGGGAGGCGGGCCGGGGUUUCAUUCGACGCCCACCAGGGGCUGAGCGAGCCUCCUUCAGUGCGCAAACUCGGGGCGCCAGAUAAAAGCCGGGCUGGCGGCUCCGGCGCUGCUUUGAUGGAGCCGGGAGAACCGAGGGGAGGAAGGAGGAGGGGGUAGUAGUAGUAGUCGUCGUCAAAGGCGGGCCAGAGUAGCUCGGUUCCCCGCAGCGGGGCUUCCCGGCACCCCGUCGGAGGAGGAGGAGGAAGCGGCGGGAGAGGCGGCCCGGCGGGACGCAGAGGCGGCGGCUGUAAUGGGGCGCUGGCUCUCUGUAGGCGGGAAUCUUGCUGCUUUCCUGUCCGUUCCUCCAGAUCAAUUUGCUUAUCAGAAAGUCUCCAGAGUUGAUCACGUGACCCGUCAUAAAUACGAGUCAGUUGCCAAGCAUCUGGAUUUUGAUCGCGUGGCCACAGGGAGGCUGCAACGGUCGUAAGUGUGAAAAACGGGUCACUUUUUUUCAGCGCUGUUGCAAUUUCAAACUGUUGUAAGUUGAGAGCUACGUAUAUGUGGUUAUUAAAAUACUAAAAACUAUAUUCUUUAAAAAAAAGUCUCUUUGAAUUGAACUUGCGGCCCUGUCAUUUUCUUGGAAGCGAGAUUUACAUCACCUUCAUCUGAUUUCUCCCCCCCCCCCUUAAUUAUUGUAUCUGACCUAUACUUGUGGUAUUCUGUGGAAGUGUCCACCUUUCAAAUAGUAACCAGCCCCAUCCCUGCUUAUCUCCUGAGAUAACUAAGUUGGCCAAAUGCUACCAAUAAGGGCAGACACAUAUUCCCAGGUAUUUGUCAUUUCUUAAUCUGCUGCUUCUGAACAAUAGGCUUUUGGGGUUAUAUAUUUAAUCUGCAUUCUUUUUUCUUUUCUUUUUUUUUACCUUUUCUGGUAAGGGGGGGGGGCUGACUUCUUUGGAAUGUAGAAUACCUUAAUUGUCAUUGUGUAGCUCACAACGAAAUUAAGUGCGGUCCAUAGUGCACACUGCACACAAGUAAAAACAUACAUUAUAUAUACACAUCCCAUAGGGUGACUGAUGCUAGGAUUGUUUAUGCCAAAUACUGGAAAGAAAAGGAGACGCUGACUAUUUUAAAAUUGACCGAACUGGGAAAGAUGGUAACAUUUAACAGCAUUGAUUAGAGACAAUGGAUUAAGAUAAAUUUAUAAGAGAUUUGGAAGCCGUUUGUGGACUUCAGAUACAAUAACAGACUAUUAAAGAGGGCUUUGAAGACUAAUUCUGCUCUUGGGGUUACCGCUUCACUUUUUAUUUUUAAGGGAAUAGAUGGUGGGUUGACUUGAGAGAUCGUAGAUUGCCACAUCGGUGACCUCUUUUGAUGUAAGAUAAUAUUUUUGGUAAAUGCAGACGGGAAACUUCAUAACUAUUUGUAGAGCUGUAAUGCAAGGCAGGGGCACGUAACAGAUAACAUUUUUCAGCAUUCAACCAGGAUGGACAUUUUUAUGUUUAAUGUUAAUGUUAUAUGUGUUAUAUACAUGCUUUUAUUACUGUUUUUUUGUGUUUGGAUGUUUUGUUUGUAGUUGAUUUUUUUUUCCCCUUUCUAUUUUGCAUUUUAACUUUGGAGAUAAAAAUAAAAAAAAAUCUUAAAAAAUGAGUGAUUUGGCAUAAUAUCUGUUAAAACACAGAAAAGUUGGAGCCACUAACAUUCUCUGCUUUCCAUAAUAGGACUGGGUUUCCUCACUACUAAUUAAAUACAGUCCUGCUUGGACUAAAUAAAUGUAGUAGACGUGUGUUCUCCCUUUGUGUGCAAUGAAACCGAUUAAAAGUAGUGUGUUGUAUACUUGGCUUAUUCAUUAAAGAGAGCUUUUGAGACAGGUUACACAAGCUCUUGAGAUAGCCUGCCACCCAGAACAGCUGACAGGAAUACCUAUUGUUCUGCUUGGCUUUUCUGCCAUCUAAUCUGAUUUCUCAAAGGCCGUGUGGAAAAUGUAAUAAUUCAAAAGGCAUUUUGGCACUUCCUGGAGGGACCAGCCCUGCUCGAACAAACAAACAGAGCAUUUUACAGCUUAAAGAUGUAGAUCCACGCAAGAGGAAACAAAUAGCAAAUACUGCUAGCAAAAUUAAAAUAAUUAGCUGGCUUUUGUUGUUGUUGUUUGUUAAUGACAAUCACACAGUCCAGAUGUGUGCUUUUAAGUCCGCCUAUUCAGUUACGAUUCUUAGGGGCAUAAUUUAAAGACGAAUGCAUAAAUAAGUAUGAAAGCAAGCUUUAUCUCUACAGUGUUCCUUACAAAGCAGGGUGCUUUUCCAAAAUCAGCUUCUGAUAUCGUUUGAUUAAACCCUUUUGUUCACUGGAUUCCUAACCUGCAGGAACAGAAGGACAGAUUGCAGCAAAAAAAAA